rnacentral:rRNA from 2 species
GUUCCUUGGAAAAGGACAGCUGAGAGGGUGAGACUCCCGUCCGCCUGGUGGAGUGAGUCGUUGUCAACGAGUCGAGUUGUUUGGGAUUGCAGCUCUAAUUUGGUGGUAAAUUCCAUCUAAAGCUAAAUAUUGGUGGGAGACCGAUAGCGUACAAGUACCGUGAGGGAAAGAUGCAAAGAACUUUGAAAAGAGAGUUAAAGAGUACCUGAAAUUGCUGAAACGGAAGCGAAGGAAACCAGUGUUUGUUGGUUCAUAUUUCCCUGGCCACUUGUGGUUUGGGCGCUGUGAGCUUGCGUGGGUUUGCUUUGGUUGAUCCCUUUGGAAGAGCGCAGUCAGAGUUGAUGUCU